AUACGGAGGGUGCAAGCGUUACUCGGAAUCACUGGGCGUAAAGCGCGCGCAGGCGGCUUGAUAAGUUGGAUGUGAAAGCCUACGGCUCAACCGUAGAACUGCAUCCAAAACUAUUUAGCUAGAGUGUGGGAGAGGAAGAUGGAAUUAGUUGUGUAGGGGUAAAAUCCGUAGAGAUAACUAGGAAUACCAAAAGCGAAGGCAAUCUUCUGGAACACUACUGACGCUGAGGCGCGAAGGCGUGGGGAGCAAACAGGAUUAGAAACCCUAGUAGUCC
rnacentral:rRNA from 1 species